UGGCUGAAAAUUUAAGACUAUACUUCACAGGAUCAUUUCUGUAGUCAGUCUUCAAUUACUUUCAUUGCAAAAUGAAAAAUCACACACCUGCGAUGAGGAGGCAUAUCGUUCUAUCUGUAGCGUGAGGUUUUGAACUUUGUCUUUUAUUUUACCCCUACCUUCGGGUAUGGGUAAUUGGGACAAUGUUUCUUCGAUGAUCGCUCGAUUAAACCAGAUAAAGCGACUUCUGAGUGGUGUCAAAACUUUUUAUGUGAAUCAAUUUGAUAAUAAGGAGGAAAAAGAGGGCUAGCUGGAUUUAAACAAAAAAAUCCGAACUUUGGUAAAAAGCUAAUCACACAAUAAAGACAGAAAUAUACAAUAGAA